rnacentral:rRNA from 1 species
UGCGUAGGCGGCUUCUUAAGUCGGAUGUGAAAUCCCUGAGCUUAACUUAGGAAUUGCAUUCGAUACUGGGAAGCUAGAGUAUGGGAGAGGAUGGUAGAAUUCCAGGUGUAGCGGUGAAAUGCGUAGAGAUCUGGAGGAAUACCGAUGGCGAAGGCAGCCAUCUGGCCUAAUACUGACGCUGAGGUACGAAAGCAGUGGGGAGCAAACA